CUUGUAUGACACUUUUCAUGAACCAUUCAAGCGUUUUACCUUGCGCUCUCCUAUGCCAGGGCAACGAGCUAGAUCUUCCAUGGAUGCAUCCAUGAUAUUGGAAAGAGACCCGAAGGUAGACCCAAGCGUGACUACGUCAGUCUUGUUAACAUGUCGAACAGUUGUGAGAGCAUGGGUUAACCGUGAUAAAUAGUCUGUAUCCAUUUGGCCCUGAAUAAGAUCUGCAGGCUUGUUUUC
rnacentral:misc_RNA from 1 species